AAAUGUCGAUAUUGAUUAACGUUCUGGGAGAAUCACAACCAGUAGAAAUGAGAAAAACAUCGCAGAUGUGAAUGGAGGUUGUC